rnacentral:rRNA from 1 species
UACGUAGGGUGCGAGCGUUGUCCGGAAUUAUUGGGCGUAAAGGGCUCGUAGGCGGUUUGUCGCGUCUGCUGUGAAAACCUAAGGCUCAACCUUGGGCUUGCAGUGGGUACGGGCAGACUAGAGUGCGGCAGGGGAGACUGGAAUUCCUGGUGUAGCGGUGGAAUGCGCAGAUAUCAGGAGGAACACCGGUGGCGAAGGCGGGUCUCUGGGCCGUUACUGACGCUGAGGAGCGAAAGCGUGGGGGAGCGAACAGG